CAGCCGCCGCGGGAAUACGGAGGGUGCAAGCGUUAAUCGGAAUUACUGGGCGUAAAGCGUGCGUAGGCGGUUCGUUAAGUCUGUUGUGAAAGCCCCGGGCUCAACCUGGGAAUGGCAAUGGAUACUGGCGAGCUAGAGUGUGUCAGAGGAUGGUGGAAUUCCCGGUGUAGCGGUGAAAUGCAUAGAGAUCGGGAGGAACAUCAGUGGCGAAGGCGGCCAUCUGGGACAACACUGACGCUGAGGCACGAAAGCGUGGGGAGCAAACAGGAUUAGAGACCCGUGUAGUCCCUGUCUCUUAUAC
rnacentral:rRNA from 1 species